GGGCGCUCACUUUGGCCACACCUAUAUUAAAAUCAGAAUGAUACAGGGAAAAUUAGCCCGGCACCUGCCCAAGGAUGAUAUGCAGAUUCGUGACAUGUUCUAUGUUUUU
ensembl:snRNA U6 U6 spliceosomal RNA